rnacentral:rRNA from 1 species
CCCGCUCAGAAACUUAAAGGAAUUGACGGGACCCGCACAAGCGGUGGAGCAUGUGGUUUAAUUCGACGAUACGCGAAGAACCUUACCUGGCCUUGACAUACUAAAAAGCUUUAAGAGAUUAGAGUGUGCUAGCUUGCUAGAAUUUAGAUACAGGUGCUGCACGGCUGUCGUCAGCUCGUGUCGUGAGAUGUUGGGUUAAGUCCCGCAACGAGCGCAACCCUCGUGUUUAGUUGCUAACAGUUCGGCUGAGAACUCUAAACAGACUGCCUACGCAAGUAGGAGGAAGGUGAGGACGACGUCAAGUCAUCAUGGCCCUUACGGCCAGGGCUACACACGUGCUACAAUGGGGUAUACAAAGAGCAGCGAUACGGUGACGUGGAGCAAAUCUAGAAAAUGCCUCUCAGUUCGGAUUGUAGUCUGCAACUCGACUACAUGAAGUUGGAAUCGCUAGUAAUCGUAGAUCAGCAAUGCUACGGUGAAUACGUUCCCGGGUCUU